AGAGUUUGAUCAUGGCUCAGAGCGAACGUUAGCGGCGCGCCUAACACAUGCAAGUCGCACGAGAAAGGGCUUCGGCCCCAGUAAAGUGGCGCACGGGUGCGUAACACGUAGGCAAUCUUCCCUUGAGCGGGGGAUAACGUUUCGAAAGAGACGCUAAUACCGCAUAAGACCACGUCCUGUUCGCAGGAUGCGGUCAAAGCUGGCCUCUUCUUGAAAGCUAGCACUUAAGGACGAGCCUGCGGCCCAUCAGCUAGUUGGUAGGGUAAUGGCCUACCAAGGCGAAGACGGGUAGCUGGUCUGAGAGGAUGAUCAGCCACACUGGAACUGAAACACGGUCCAGACUCCUACGGGAGGCAGCAGUGGGGAAUAUUGGACAAUGGGCGAAAGCCUGAUCCAGCGACGCCGCGUGAGUGAUGAAGGCCUUCGGGUUGUAAAGCUCUGUUGAGGGAGAAGAAAACGUUUGGCGCGAAUAGCUCCAGACCUUGACGGUAUCCCUUUAGAAAGCACCGGCUAACUCUGUGCCAGCAGCCGCGGUAAGACAGAGGGUGCAAACGUUGCUCGGAAUUACUGGGCGUAAAGCGCGUGUAGGCGGACCUUCAAGUCGGACGUGAAAGCCCUAAGCUCAACUUAGGAACUGCAUCCGAAACUGGAGGCCUGGAGUAGUGGAGAGGAAAGCAGAAUUCCUGGUGUAGAGGUGAAAUUCGUAGAUAUCAGGAGGAACACCGGUGGCGAAGGCGGCUUUCUGGACACUUACUGACGCUGAGACGCGAAAGCGUGGGGAGCAAACAGGAUUAGAUACCCUAGUAGUCC
rnacentral:rRNA from 1 species